UACGAAGGGUGCAAGCGUUAAUCGGAAUUACUGGGCGUAAAGGGUGCGUAGGCGGUCUGAUAAGUCAUCUGUGAAAUCUAUGGGCUCAACCCAUAGUCUGCAGGCGAAACUGUCGGGCUUGAGUAUGGGAGAGGUGAGUGGAAUUUCCGGUGUAGCGGUGAAAUGCGUAGAUAUCGGAAGGAACACCUGUGGCGAAAGCGGCUCACUGGACCAUUACUGACGCUGAUGCACGAAAGCUAGGGGAGCAAACAGG
rnacentral:rRNA from 1 species